CAGUAGCCGCGGGAAUACGUAGGUGGCAAGCGUUGUCCGGAAUUAUUGGGCGUAAAGCGCGCGUAGGCGGUUUUUUAAGUCUGAUGUGAAAGCCCACGGCUCAACCGUGGAGGGUCAUUGGAAACUGGAAAACUUGAGUGCAGAAGAGGAAAGUGGAGUUCCAUGUGUAGCGGUGAAAUGCGCAGAGAUAUGGAGGAACACCAGUGGCGAAGGCGACUUUCUGGUCUGUAACUGACGCUGAUGUGCGAAAGCGUGGGGAUCAAACAGGAUUAGAUACCCCAGUAGUCCCUGUCUCUUAUAC
rnacentral:rRNA from 1 species